rnacentral:piRNA from 2 species
UCGGAGGUACCACUGUCUUGUUAGAACAAA